GAUGAAAGGGUACGUCACAUUUCACGUCACUACUGCAGCAGAAGUCUUGGGUGUUGGAAAAUGGCCUAUGUAUUAAGCAACUUAAGUUCAGCGUCCCAGUGCCGUUUUGAUUCAAAGAACCCAAUGCCGAUUUGACUGAGUGAUGAUUGAACAAAGUUAUUGACCCAAUGCCGAUUUUACUGGCGAUUGCGUGAUGACAAAUCAGAACAAUAUUCCAGCACAUUUUUUAAAACCUGUAAGAUAUGGAGAGAAUUUUCUGGCCAUAAAACAACACAAUAUCUACAUGUAUAUGGGGAUAGAUUUUCAUCUAAAGCAGACAUACAAGGUGUAACAUACAGCCUGCCUUUUUUCAUGGUGAAUACAUUGAAGAACAGACACCAUGACCCCAAGCUUGCUUCAAAAUGGAAGCAAUGCAGUCACUGUCAGGGAAAUGAAGCCAGAAUUGUGUAAAAAUUUGAAAAAUAAAUGCAGGA